GAUUUGAGUUUUGGAGCUGUCUGGUGCUGACAAUUUGUUUCGGGGAAAGAAAUGUUAGAAGAAAAAUGUAAAUGAAAUUACGAUGACGUUAAUUAAUUAAUUAAUUCAUCGAUGACGUGGAGCCAUUAAUUCAAGACGAAAUGAUUGGCAUCAUUUUAUACAGCGCGAACUGCCGUGAACUUCAACGACGUGCUGCCGCAAGUGCCAGAUCGAGGCAACUGUCUGAGUCUGCCUUUGGAUGAGACUCAGACUUGGAGACAGCAUUAACACGCAAGACGACAAGACACAUCGAAGGGAAGACAAAGAAGUGAUCCGUGGCCUGGAGCUGAAAAGGACAGGAGGGGGAGAUGUGCAAAGGAGAAACGAAGGAAGGGAGGAAGAAGCAUCAGGAUAGAGGUGGAAAAGGGAAAGAAGGGAGAUGUGGCACAAGGAAAGUGAUGAGAAGAGAAAAAGAGAGAUAUCGUGUUGAUCCGGGGACAUCGGACUUCAACGUGAUGGGUUCCAGGGCCGUGACCCAAGCCUGCUGAAAACAGACUUCUUUGGUCUACUCUUUCUGCGUAAUGAUUCUAUCAUGCAGCUUUUUUUAUCCAACUGAAGAUAUGCACAUGAAAACAAUGAUGUUGGAGUGUAAUCAUGCCCGCUGUGAAAAAGAAGAACAUCAGGUCAGACACCAGGCAAACUCCCAAAGUCAGUUUGAACUGUGAAGAUUGCCCUCGGCAAGGACCCUGGGAACAGAUGGAUGACCCCUUCCAGCCUGCACUUGUUGUUUGUAAAAAGAUUCAGUGUGAAAAUAGUUAGGGGGAAAAAAAUGUCAGCAGUGAGUACAAUUGUAAAAGAUGACACAGCAACAGGAAAAGAGUGGAUGGAUGAGAUAAAGAGAGCGAGACAGCCAGAGAUGCCAGAACUAAACAAAUACUUACAGGCAAACUUUGCCCAGCCAGUGCUGUGAGGAGCAGAGGAGGCGAAGGCCGCAGAGCAAAAGAGGACAGGAAACAAAAAAACCCACCUGUCCAGCCAGAGUAAUAGGGAGGUGCGAGGGGCUGCAGAGCACCAGCGAGGCAACAGAUGGAGGUACCUCCUGGAUCGGAGACUCAUCUAGGUCAUCGAUUCGAGGUUUCUUGAUGUUUGACUCGGGGCUGGUCAGAGGAGUCACACUGUUCCGCCUGAUCAAGGUGCCAGGACCCUUCUUCACCUCCUGCAGGUACUGAACAAGUCACCCACAAUAGUACAGGAUGUGACACCGACUUCAGUUCUGUAGGGCUGAGCAGAACAUUUCCAGUAAUCAGUGUAUCAAGCAUUACCUCAGGUCGGUCUCUGUGCGUGUUCACCGCCUCCACAUUCAGAGAGAUGGACUCCACUUUGCACCCGUAGGCGACCGGGGUGAGCUUCAGCACCGUGUGGAGGGGACACUUCAGGUAGGGCAUCUCCUCUGGAACAACAAGCAAAGGAAGGAAAAACAAAGAUGUGAACACAGUUGCAUAUAGCAGAUUGGAGUAUCAUAAAUCAUUAGUAAUCCAUACAGCCUCUCACUUAUCCAUACAUCCUCUUGUUUUUCUUUCUUAAUGUUAAACAGUUAUACGUCUGUAACAAUUAUAACAUAACUGUCUAAUCGCAAUUUUUUUUUGUUGGCA